rnacentral:rRNA from 1 species
AUUGAACGCUGGCGGCAGGCCUAACACAUGCAAGUCGAGCGAGCGGCGGACGGGUGCGUAAUGUAUGGGGACUGCCCGAUGGAGGGGGAUAACUACUGGAAACGGUAGCUAAUACAGCAUACCAUCGGAUACCCCAUAUGGGAUUAGCUAGUAGGUGAGGUAAUGGCUCACCUAGGCGACGAUCGCUAGCUGGUCUGAGAGGAUGACCAGCCACACUGGGACUGAGACACGGCCCAGACUCCGACGGAGGCAGCAGUGGGGAAUAUUGCACAAUGGGCGCAAGCCUGAUGCAGCCAUGCCGCGUGUAUGAAGAAGGCCCUAGGGUUGUAAAGUACUUUCAGUCGGGAGGCGUUACCGGCAGAAGAAGCACCGGCUAACUCCGUGCCAGCAGCCGCGGUAAUUC